CGAAAGCCUGAUGCAGCAACGCCGCGUGCGGGAAGAAGGCCCUAGGGUUGUAAACCGCUUUCAGCAGGGAAGAAACUGACGGUACCUGUAGAAGAAGGUGCGGCCAACUACGUGCCAGCAGCCGCGGUGACACGUAGGCACCAAGCGUUGUCCGGAUUUAUUGGGCGUAAAGAGCUCGUAGGCGGUUCGGUAAGUCGGGUGUGAAAAACUCUGGGCUCAACCCAGAGCCGCCACCUGAUACUGCUGUGACUCGAGUGCGGUAGGGGAGCGGGGAAUUCCUGGUGUAGCGGUGAAAUGCGCAGAUAUCAGGAGGAACACCAGUGGCGAAGGCGCCGCUCUGGGCCGUGACUGACGCUGAGGAGCGAAAGCGUGGGUAGCAAACAGGAUUAGAUACCCUGGUAGUCCACGCCGUAAACGUUGGGCACUAGGUGUGGGUCUCAACCAACGAGAUCCGCGCCGUCGCUAACGCAUUAAGUGCCCCGCCUGGGGAGUACGGUCGCAAGACUA
rnacentral:rRNA from 1 species